AACAAUCAAACUAGCCGUGCUUCCGACAGCAUUUACAUAGCUUUGAUGAAAUGUUCCAGCACAUGCUUGAAUGGAAUGUAGCAGCUUAUAUUAAGAACAGAGCCACAGAUUAAUUGCAAUGUUUAUAUAAGUGUGAUGUUGUGUUAU